rnacentral:tRNA from 1 species
GCGCGUGUAGCUCAAUUGGAUAGAGCAUCGGUCUACGGAACCGAAGGUUACAGGUUCGAGUCCUGUCACGCGUG